rnacentral:rRNA from 13 species
GGGUUGUGAGGUUAAGCGAAUAAGCGUACACGGUGGAUGCCUAGGCAAUCAGAGGCGAUGAAGGACGUGCUAAUCUGCGAAAAGCGUCGGUAAGGUGAUAUGAACCGUUAUACCCGACGAUAUCCGAAUGGGGAAACCCAGUAUCCAAUGGAUACUAUCAUUAACUGAAUCCAUAGGUUAAUGAGGCGAACCGGGAGAACUGAAACAUCUCAGUACCCCGAGGAAAAGAAAUCAACCGAGAUUCCCCUAGUAGCGGCGAGCGAACGGGGAGCAGCCCAGAGUCUUAAUCAAUAGCAGUGUCAGGAGAACGGUCUGGAAAGUCCGGCAGUAAAGGGUGAUAGCCCCGUAUCUGAAGAUGCUGUUGUUGUGAACUCGACGAGUAGGGCGGGACACGUGUUAUCCUGUCUGAAUAUGGGGGGACCAUCCUCCAAGGCUAAAUACUCCUGAUUGACCGAUAGUGAACCAGUACCGUGAGGGAAAGGCGAAAAGAACCCCGGCGAGGGGAGUGAAAAAGAACCUGAAACCGUGUACGUACAAGCAGUAGGAGCCUCUUUAUGGGGUGACUGCGUACCUUUUGUAUAAUGGGUCAGCGACUUAUAUUCUGUAGCAAGGUUAACCGUAUAGGGGAGCCGUAGGGAAACCGAGUCUUAACUGGGCGAAUGAGUUGCAGGGUAUAGACCCGAAACCCGGUGAUCUAUCCAUGGGCAGGUUGAAGGUUGGGUAACACUAACUGGAGGACCGAACCGACUAAUGUUGAAAAAUUAGCGGAUGACUUGUGGAUGGGGGUGAAAGGCCAAUCAAACCGGGAGAUAGCUGGUUCUCCCCGAAAGCUAUUUAGGUAGCGCCUCGUGAACUCAUCUUCGGGGGUAGAGCACUGUUUCGACUAGGGGGUCAUCCCGACUUACCAACUCGAUGCAAACUGCGAAUACCGAAGAAUGUUAUCACGGGAGACACACGGCGGGUGCUAACGUCCGUCGUGAAGAGGGAAACAACCCAGACCGCCAGCUAAGGUCCCAAAGUCAUGGUUAAGUGGGAAACGAAGUGGGAAGGCUCAGACAGCCAGGAUGUUGGCUUAGAAGCAGCCAUCAUUUAAAGAAAGCGUAAUAGCUCACUGGUCGAGUCGGCCCGCGCGGAAGAUGUAACGGGGCUAAACCAUGCACCGAAGCUGCGGCAGCGACACAAAGUGUUGUUGGGUAGGGGAGCGUUCUGUAAGCCUGCGAAGGUGUACUGUGAGGUAUGCUGGAGGUAUCAGAAGUGCGAAUGCUGACAUAAGUAACGAUAAUGCGGGUGAAAAACCCGCACGCCGGAAGACCAAGGGUUCCUGUCCAACGUUAAUCGGGGCAGGGUGAGUCGACCCCUAAGGCGAGGCUGAAAAGCGUAGUCGAUGGGAAACGGGUUAAUAUUCCCGUACUGGUGGUAACUGCGAUGGGGGAACGGAGAAGGCUAGGUUGUCCGGGCGACGGUCGUCCCGGUUCAAGCAGGUAGGCAGAGUGAUUAGGCAAAUCCGGUCACUUAAUGCUGAGAUGUGAUGACGAACCACCAAGGUGGUGAAGCAAUUGAUGCCCCGCUUCCAGGAAAAGCCUCUAAGCUUCAGGUUACCAACAAUCGUACCCCAAACCGACACAGGUGGUCAGGUAGAGAAUACUCAGGCGCUUGAGAGAACUCGGGUGAAGGAACUAGGCAAAAUGGUGCCGUAACUUCGGGAGAAGGCACGCUGGCGGUAGGUAAAGUCCCUCGCGGACGGCGCUGAAGCCAGUCGAAGAUACCAGCUGGCUGCAACUGUUUAUUAAAAACACAGCACUGUGCAAACACGAAAGUGGACGUAUACGGUGUGACGCCUGCCCGGUGCUGGAAGGUUAAUUGAUGGGGUCAGCCGUAAGGCGAAGCUCCUGAUCGAAGCCCCAGUAAACGGCGGCCGUAACUAUAACGGUCCUAAGGUAGCGAAAUUCCUUGUCGGGUAAGUUCCGACCUGCACGAAUGGCGUAAUGAUGGCCAGGCUGUCUCCACCCGAGACUCAGUGAAAUUGAACUCGCUGUGAAGAUGCAGUGUACCCGCGGCAAGACGGAAAGACCCCGUGAACCUUUACUAUAGCUUGACACUGAACAUUGAGCCUUGAUGUGUAGGAUAGGUGGGAGGCUUUGAAGUGUGGACGCCAGUCUGCAUGGAGCCAACCUUGAAAUACCACCCUUUAACGUUUGAUGUUCUAACCUAGGCCCAUAAACUGGGUCGGGGACCGUGUCUGGUGGGUAGUUUGACUGGGGCGGUCUCCUCCUAAAGAGUAACGGAGGAGCACGAAGGUUGGCUAAGCAUGGUCGGACAUCAUGCGGUUAGUGCAAAGGCAUAAGCCAGCUUGACUGCGAGAGUGACGGCUCGAGCAGGUACGAAAGUAGGUCUUAGUGAUCCGGUGGUUCUGAAUGGAAGGGCCAUCGCUCAACGGAUAAAAGGUACUCCGGGGAUAACAGGCUGAUACCGCCCAAGAGUUCAUAUCGACGGCGGUGUUUGGCACCUCGAUGUCGGCUCAUCACAUCCUGGGGCUGAAGUAGGUCCCAAGGGUAUGGCUGUUCGCCAUUUAAAGUGGUACGCGAGCUGGGUUUAGAACGUCGUGAGACAGUUCGGUCCCUAUCUGCCGUGGGCGUUGGAAGAUUGAGAGGGGUUGCUCCUAGUACGAGAGGACCGGAGUGAACGCACCACUGGUGUUCGGGUUGUCAUGCCAAUGGCAUUGCCCGGUAGCUAAGUGCGGAAGAGAUAACCGCUGAAAGCAUCUAAGCGGGAAACUUGCCUCGAGAUGAGUCUUCCCUGUCGCUUUAAGCGACCUAAAGGAACGUUUAAGACUAAGACGUUGAUAGGCUGGGUGUGUAAGCGUAGCGAUACGUUGAGCUAACCAGUACUAAUGAACCGUGAGGCUUAACCUGACAACACCGAAAGUGUUUUG